rnacentral:rRNA from 1 species
AUUGAACGCUGGCGGCAUGCUUUACACAUGCAAGUCGAACGGUAACAGGUUAAGCUGACGAGUGGCGAACGGGUGAGUAAUGCAUCGGAACGUGCCCGAUCGUGGGGGAUAACGCAGCGAAAGCUGCGCUAAUACCGCAUACGAUCUGAGGAUGAAAGCGGGGGACCGUAAGGCCUCGCGCGAUCGGAGCGGCCGAUGUCAGAUUAGGUAGUUGGUGGGGUAAAGGCCCACCAAGCCGACGAUCUGUAGCUGGUCUGCGAGGACGACCAGCCACACUGGGACUGAGACACGGCCCAGACUCCUACGGGAGGCAGCAGUGGGGAAUUUUGGACAAUGGGCGAAAGCCUGAUCCAGCAAUGCCGCGUGCAGGAAGAAGGCCUUCGGGUUGUAAACUGCUUUUGUACGGAGCGAAAAGGUCCUUUCUAAUACAAGGGGCUCAUGACGGUACCGUAAGAAUAAGCACCGGCUAACUACGUGCCAGCCGCCGCGGUAACAC